ACUUGGUUUCAUUGCGCUACAGGGUACGCGAAAAGGUUAUUGGUUGCAGGACGAAAUAAUGAGUUGACAUGGUCAAUUGGCAGAAAUAUUUGUCAACUUAUGAUUCAGGGUGACGGCCGCAGUGACAGUAUCCUUCAGAUCUUUCUGGUGUAAAGCUUCGAGCGGCACUGCAACUGUUAUGAACAGGCUUGUCGCUUACCACCAGGUACACGACGUGUUCGUCCCGUCGCUUGGUACUUUAAAAAAGAUGCGGCAUAUUGUUCCUUAACGAUCUAACAGAUAUAACUUGCAAUUUUAUUAAUAAUGAAUUAUGUACAUCGUAACAUGGAACACGAAAUUGUAAUUCAAUUAUACUUAUGACUUGGACUAAAACCUUGAAAGGAAAUUAACGUGAAAUGUGAAAUAUAAUAUCUGCUAAUAUACAACCGGUAGCAGAGAAACUUGACCCCAUUUGAUGUUGGUUGUACACUAUACCGACUGAAAUUUAAAUUUAAAUUUACCGUAGUAUUGCAUCAGUCAGUUCUAAAGAAAAAAUAAUAUGUGCUGCUAUUUGUAUUAUUGCCUUAAAUACGCAGCCGGUUGCGCACAUAAACCUGAUGGGCGCGACGACUGAUUAUUGGGAAACAAGUAUAUUGUUCAAAGUUCCAAAUUUGAAACUUAUAGGGACGUGAAGCCAUACAUUUUAAAUUGUGCAGUCAUACAUAUUCUUGUACAUGAAAAUUCUUAGUGUAUGAAUUAUUGUCGUACACAAUUUGAAUGGGAAGUUAGGAACUGGACUUGUGGUGAGGUGUGCUCCUACUGCAAUAAACUACGACGAUCUAAACCUGGAUAAGCCUAUAGUGAAAUUACCGUAUGUAGACAAGAAAUCCAUUGCUGCUAAGUUCUAUGGAGAAAUGUGGUGUACAUAUAUGAAGAACUCUCGAAAAAAUUGACGUAUUGACUUCGUGUAAAAUCAUCACUUCAUCAGUCACUUCACAACGGUGAUUGACUAUUUAGAACUUUUCUGUAAAGAACAUUGUGAUUGGUCUCAUAACAUCACGAUAUCUUAAUACAGAUUCGAGCAGUAUUUUUUUUAUUCUACUAUCAACUUUGUUCCGUUUCCUUUGGACACAAUCAACGACACAGAAAAAUAAUAUUAUCUGCUUUUUAAUAAUAGUGGUAAAUAAAAUGCAACAAAAGAAACGAAUAACACACUUAGCAACAAAACUGAAACAAUCG